GCCUGGGUGGCUCAGUCGGUUAAGCGUCCGACUUCGGCUCAGGUCAUGAUCUCACGGUUUGUGGGUUCGAGCCCCGCAUCGGGCU
rnacentral:tRNA from 1 species